GGCGGCGCGCCUAACACAUGCAAGUCGAACGAGAAAGUGGAGCAAUCCAUGAGUAAAGUGGCGUACGGGUGAGUAACACGUGGAUCAUCUACCUUUUAGUGGGGAAUACCGCUGGGAAACCGGCGACAAUACCGCAUAAUCUCGAGAGAGGAAAGCCGCAAGGCGCUGAAAGAGGAGUCCGCGGUCGAUUAGCUAGUUGGUGAGGUAAUGGCUCACCAAGGCUGUGAUCGAUAGCCGGCCUGAGAGGGCACACGGCCACACUGGCACUGAAACACGGGCCAGACUCCUACGGGAGGCAGCAGUGGGGAAUCUUGCACAAUGGGGGCAACCCUGAUGCAGCGACGCCGCGUGAGCGAUGAAGCCCUUCGGGGUGUAAAGCUCUUUCGGCAGGGACGAUAAUGACGGUACCUGCAGAAGCAGCUGCGGCUAACUACGUGCCAGCAGCCGCGGUAAUACGUAGGCAGCAAGCGUUGUUCGGAGUUACUGGGCGUAAAGGGUGCGUA
rnacentral:rRNA from 1 species